rfam:TPA: Bos taurus chromosome 21, whole genome shotgun sequence.
UCCCUGGUGGCUCAGACAGUAAAGAAUCUGUCUGCAAUGCAGAAGACCUGGGUUCGAUUCUUAGGUUGGGAA